CUCGCCCCGAGAUACCUUUUCCAUUAGUCUAGUGGUGAGGUUCUGUAUCCAUUAUGUAGUUAUUUUUUAGUGUUAAGGGAGGUUUUAUUCACAAUGUAAUUCAGUACCUAAAGAUAAAGUACUUAGGAGCAAAAAUGUAGAGCACUAAUUUAUACUAAGAGGUGAUAAGUCCCUUUAGAAUAAAAAUGGCAGAGUCAUCGCCCGGUUGAGAACACAGUGCCAGAUGUCCUAAAAUUCGCAAAACCAACUGAAGAGUUCCUUUGAGGAUAACGAGGAACAGGAAUUUAAUGUUAACUACGUAUAACACACCAACACGUAAUAUGCGGGAUCUAAAACACACGAGGCAGGCCCAUUCCGUAGAAUUAUGGCACAAAUUAAGACCCUUUUGUUGCUAUAUUUCUAUCAAAUAAUACCGAAGGAGAAAUGAACAUCUAAGAAAUAAAAAACUCAUAAGAAUUUCAGGUCCUCAAAAUCUGAAUAGAAGACGCGGUAACCAUCAAACGACAUGACCUUAGAGGCGCCCCGUUAGUAAGGCUUAAGGCCUGGCCCAAUGAUAGAGCAGAUCAAUGAUAGACAAGGCCUAAUAGAGAAAGCGCAAAGAGCGCGAUAGAGCUGCCCAAAUUUUGACGUGCCCCAGUCAUUGACAAUGAAUUCGUAAAUUAAUUCACAACAUCUCUAUAUAAUGACUACGGCGAUGGAACCAGGCUUCUCUAGUAAAAUCUAGUAUUUUACGUCCCAAAUUUGUAUCAAGAUCUUUAUUUGUAAGUGGCGUCACCAAUCACGGUUUUUUGCAACAGCAGAGUAUUAGGGAGGUCUUUUUAUCUUGCACGGAAUAAACUACAACAUAGUCGAGUACAGGCCGGAAACUUGCAGUAUACCUACGCCAAAAAUAAAUAGAGUAACAUCAUUUUUUAUUUUAAAUUAAAACUAAGUAAUUGUAAUACUUAGCUUUCAUAACUUAAAAUUCAUUUUAAUAUUGUAUUUAAUGACAAUAAUAUAAUAUUCAUUAGGAUUAUUUCUCUAACACAUUUAUAUUAUCUUAAUAACCAAAAUUCUGUAACCAUCGGGAAAAAAUAUUUUAUGUAAUAUUUAUGAAAUAUGGGAAGAUAUAUAGUAAGUUUAGAACAAAUUCCGGGCGAUGACAUUCAUUAGAAUUAACUGAAGUUAUUAAACUUAUCAUAGUUUAUAUUUAAAGUUAUAAGCUUUUAUCGCAUUCCGUGUUUGACUAUUUGAAAACAAUACAUACUAUAAAUUAUUAUAUCAGGUUUGACUUAAGUUACAAUAAUACAAUAAUUAUUAGGUUAUUAAUAGUAGUACGUUUAACAUUAUAUAUUCGUAUAUAAUUAAAACGGCUGAGAAAAAGGUAUCUCCAAACAUAGUUAUCUUAACUAUGUUACUAGUAAUAAGACCUACAUAUUCCUAAAUAACGCAACAAAUAUUAAUGCAAUCGCAUUGCUUAAAUGUUAUAAGAAUACACUGCAAUAUUUGAUACUUAUAUAUCUCACAUACACAAUUAUAUUAUUAUAGUAAAUAUUCUUUCAUCAAUGGAAUGAGCGAUACAACAAUUUAAUAUAAACACUACUUAUAAUCUUCUAUCGAUAGUCAUUGCACCGGCUUGAAAUUUAAUCUAUCUAACUUCUCAUCACUACAGUUAUAUCAGUGUGUAACAAUCUAUAAUACGUAAUUUAUUUUUUGUUGUUAAAAAUUACCACUAGAAUCUAUUUAUUUUACUCUUUUUUAAAUAUUUUUAUUUUUGUAAUUAUCACUUUUUUAAACUUUCUGAUUGGAAUUUACGCAAAUUCAUAUACGUAAUGGUAUUAUUGUAAAAUGUUUCAGUUAUUAAACCAAUUUUAAUUUAGAUCUUUUUCUGUUUUAUUAAUAUAUUUUAAUACAGUAACCUUAUUCCCAAAUCUUUGAUAUUAUUAUUUUGUUUGGAAUUCCAACUAGGAAAAAUACAUAGUUACAUUUAAAUAUUUUUUCAUAAUUUUAUAAAACCUUGAAAGAACAUUUAUCUAGAAUAUUCUGUAAAUGUAUGAGAUAGCAUAAUAGUAGUAUUACACACUUAUUAAUAAUAAUGAGGCGAAUACUGUACGAAACACAAAUUAAUUACUACUCUUUUAUUAUUAGCAGUCCAUUCAAAUCAUGUAAACUGAAUAAGUUCUGAAUAGAAAUUAACUUUUUUCUUAAAAACUGCCCCAUUUUUACCUUGCAAGUAAUUAUUUAUUUUUUUACUUACCUACAUUAUUGAUACCCUUGUGUGAUAAGUAUUGAUGUGUUAUGUAGUUUGGCAAUAGAUUUUAAUUAAUAAGUAUUUUUCUUAUUGAUUAACUUUUCACCCCUGCUAGUUAACCCUGACAUAGACAAAGACACGACAAAAAUACCUACUGAGAGUGCAUGUGGUAUCUUUUGUUAAAAUUAAAUAUUGACAAUGGCACGUCAGCAAUGACAAGAACAUCGUCAAUAUUGGAUUGUCCAUUUUCUUAAUAUUUAGUUAUUUUGAGGACUUGCAUACAUAUUAAUUCCUGAAUAUCCAAAGCACAACUACAUCAAUAACAAGGAUCUUAGCUAUUUUUUAAUUUUUAAAAUUAAUAUAAUAGUUUAUCACUUAUAAAUUGUCUGCUAAAUCUUGUAAUUGAUUAGUUACUGCAGACCAAAUAAAUAACUCUGCAUCUAAUGUGGAGGGAAUACUGGUUGAAUCAUUUAAAUUUGUAGCCUUCAAAACAAAUGAAAUAAAGUAAUUGCUUGUAAUUAAUAAGUCCUCAAAACCGGAUUGCAGACCAGUAUGGCAGCAUCCGAAAUCAUUGGUUGUUUAGUCACGAUACUAUAUACUUAUAUUACAACUAUAUACAGGGUGUAAGGUAAAUGGGUAUAUCAGCCGACACUAGCCCAUGUUAACAUGGUCAUAUAAAUGGAAUGGUGUAGUCAGAAAAUUGAUAUCUUCAUUUUAUUUUUCAUACAAAUCGGAUUUUAUAAAAUUUGUUUAAUAUGAAAAUUAAAAAAAUUAAAAUGAUGACAUCAAAUUUCUGACUUCACCAUACCAUUUAUAUGCCCAUGUUAACAUGGGCUAGUGUCGGCUCAUAUACCCAUUUACCUAACACCCUGUAUAAAGUUUUAACUUAAAUGCUUGGUUGCUCGUAUCAAGCCAUUAGUGAUAGAUGGUUAGAUAGAGUAGGAUAGGUAUUAGGGCAGAAAUAAGGGUGUCAAAAACUGUUACAAGGACCUAAGAGACCUGACAUGGACGUCCUCUGUUGAUGAAUGGGACUGGUGAAAACUUCACCAUGGAGAAUAAGUCCCUUUUUUAUUUAUUCAAUAAAUACAAACUUUGAGCAAUUUAAUUAAAGCUUGACACAGAGUACCUUACUAUGCUUGGGCAUUAUAUUGUUAAGUUUCUUUGCAUUUAGCAUUAAACAUUUGUUGUUACUAUGUUUAUAAUUUGUGCAAUAUUAAUUCAUUGCCACUAAUGAAUUUAACAAAUAACGGCUAAUCUUGUGUGACUAUACUUAGUUUUUGUGUCGAAGUAAAUAAAUAGAAUCGCAUCUAAAUAUUAAUCUUCAAAGCGUAAAACAAGCUAUUUAGCAAUAUCCAUUAACCAUUGUUUAUUACAUUUGUUUAUGAUUUUAAUAAACGUUAGUUUUUUUGUGAAUUAACGUGCCCACCCUUUGCAAACUAACCCCGACGAGGACAUAAAACGACACGACGCAAAUACCUAUUAGUAAAAUAAUGGGUAUUUAAGUUUUUAAAGUUCAGUAUUGUUAAUGGAAUGUCAGCAAUGGCUAGUACUUAGCAAUAUUGGACCAUGAUAUUCAUACAUAAAGUUUUUGUUACAUAGGUUUUAGGCUAGGAUGAAAUAGAUUUUGGAUUACAAGAAACAAAAUUACAGAAGACGAGGACGUUCUAAUUUUGGCACAGUUAUUGUUAUUUUUUAUUAGAAGAUUUGAGAAUUGUAUUUUUAUGAAACUUUAACUAAAUACAUUUUGACUUCAUAUAAUUUCUCCACACAUGUUUUGUCACAAAUGUAAUAUUUAUUGUAAUUGUCCAUAAAUUGCACACUGCUUAGUUACUUUUCAUAAGUAAUUUAUCAAUAAAAUGAUUUUGUUUGUGAUUUAGUGUUUGUAAAGUACUUUGUCCACCUUUGUAAUUACAAAUUAACGUUUAAUUUAAUAAGACAAGGACAAAUGACACGACCAAAAUGCCUAUUAGUAAAAUAGUGGGUAUUUAAGUUUUAUUGUUUAAUAUUGUUAAUGGUAAGCCAGCAAUGGCGAGAACAUCAGCAAUAUUAGACUCCUGGUUGUAAUGACACUAAACAAAAAUAAUUAUUAAAAAAAUAAUAAUAUUUGUCAAUAUUAUGUGUCUAAGAUAAUAAAUAUAUUGUAACUUUAUAAUAAUUAAAUUUUUAUGCAAUGCAAAAUUUAAAGUUAAAUGAAAUUGUAAUAUUUUUCUAAAUAAUUAAAACUGUUAGGUCGUUACAACUAUUUAAACACUUCUACUGAGUUUCUUGCCGGUUCUUCUCAGUAGUGCGUAGGUUCCGAACCGGUGGUAGAGUCAACUAAAAACUUUAUCCGGCGAUUUAAAUCCGGAAAAAUAAUUUGAACAUUUUCAAAAUUUUUACCUAAACAUCACUAUCACACUGGGGAACAGAAAUUGUAAUGAUACGUAAUUGGCAUCUAGAGUAUUGUAAGGUUUAAAUUGUAAUUUAACAUUAUUUAUUGAUGUACUUUUUACUUAUUAUUAUUGUUACUGUAAUGACAAUUUACUGGUCAAAAUGCUGCUAUGUUUUAAGAGCUGUUUAAAAAUAAUUAAUUUAAUUAUGGUUAUUUUUGUUGUAUCAUAUAUUUUUUUAAAGCUACCUAAGUACAGAAUCAUAAAAAUAUCUUUAAGUGGUGAAUUCAAGUUUGUUUGUUACCCAAAUUAUAAAUAGUUCUAAUAACUGAAAUUCGAUUGUAUUAAUGUCAACUCGUAAUAAUGAAACUGGAUUGGAAUUUUGAUUAAAGCUACUAUUUUUAGGAUAAUGCAAAAUUGUUGUAAGUUUAUACCUGUGUUAGAUAAAUUCAUUAUAAAUCGUCAAGUUCCCCAGUGACAAAUCCAUAACUAAAUGUCAAAUUCAAAUACAUAAUACAAAAAUAAAUGCUAUUAAACAUAA